rnacentral:siRNA from 1 species
GCUCAAGAGUUAAGGAUUGCCA